AUGUGUGUAUAUCUCCCCCGCCUGUAGCGAUAUAACAGUCAGCCGGCAUGCGAAAGCGUAGGCAUUCACUUGGGGAGGUACGCCGGCAACGGUGAAACUCAAAGGAAAUUGACGGAGGCCGCACAAGCGGAGGAACAUGUGGUUUAAAUUCGAUGAUACGCGAGGAACCUUACCCGGGCUUGAACUGCAGCAGACGGAUCUAGAGAUAGUGACUCCUUCGGGGCUGCUGUGGAGGUGCUGCAUGGUUGUCGUCAGCUCGUGCCGUGAGGUGUCGGCUUAAGUGCCAUAACGAGCGCAACCCCUUUCAUUAGUUGCCAUCAGGUAAUGCUGGGCACUCUGGUGAUACUGCCACCGUAAGGUGUGAGGAAGGUGGGGAUGACGUCAGGGGCGGCACGGCCCUUACGUCCGGGACUACACACGUGUUACAAAGGGUGGUACAAAAAAGUCGGGUGUAUGCAAAUACAUUCUAAUCAAGAAAGCCAUCCUCAGUUCGGAUUGGGGUCUGCAACCCGACCCCAUGAAGCUGGAUUCGCUAGUAAUCGCGCAUCAGCCAUGGCGCGGUGAAUACGUUCCCGGGCCUUGUACACACCGCCCGUCAAGCCAUGAAAGCCGGGGGCGCUUGAAGUCCGUGACCGCAAGGAUCGGCCUAGAGCGAAACUGGUAAUUGGGGUUAAGUCGUAACAAGUAACCUAAUCUAGAG
rnacentral:rRNA from 1 species